CAAUGAACUCAGUGGCAAGAUUCCUUCAACCAAAAGGACUACUGCAGACUUUGGAGAUAUUACAACAUUGGAGUGAUGAGCUGAUAGUCUCUUGCAAGAACUGAACUGUCAAGGGUUGCCCCACUCGUUGACAGUUCUAAGGGAGGAUCAGCAUGAUGUGUGUGGCUGUUUUGGGCCAGUCACCACUGCCCUUUCAUUAUUCUCUUCAUCCUUCAUGUUUGAGCUUGCUGAAGAGGCAAAUAGGCUUGUGAACUAAGUGGAAGCUCUUGGUGAAAUAGUUGAACAACUGGGUAAAAAAGGCUGGAAUUUCAAUUUGAAACAUUAUGACAAAAACUUGAACUGGCAAACACCAAUAGUGGACUCCUCCCUUAUGUAUGACUGUACUGUCAAUUGCACCUGCCUUUCUGAUGAUGCAUGUCACAUCAGUGCCAUCUAGAAAUUUCAGGAUGCAGACAAGAUUAGAAAGAUUGAAGCAGAUUCAAACAAAAACCACCAUGCCCAUGGUUUGCGAUGAUGAUUUCAAUUGGUAUCCUUGUAAUUGCAUUGCUUCUUGGGCAUAUAAUCAACGCAACAGUGAAUCGAAUAGCCAAAGUAAUGAUUUAUUUUGGCUUCUACAAGGGUAUCAAUAUCUUUUGUAGCUUUAUACUAUUUGUGUGGAGAAUCAAAACAAUUAUGUCAUUUUUGGUGGCUGUGGGGAAAGGAUUGGGACAGUUUAACAACUGGAUAAAUUACAUUAUUUUUGGUGUGAUCUAAAUGUAAGUUUAUAAAUUAAUUAGUAAGUUUAUUCAUAUGCUUCUGGCGGUUUUUAAAUUAAUUUGUUUUUUUAU